AAGAAUUUCAAACUGUGAGGUCGAUCUUAUCUGUUCCUAUUCAUGGAAGGCUUAAGAGUCAUAACCUGAAAUCAUCAGGGCCUUACAUAAGUAAUCCUUUCUGUAUGGACAUGGAGUAUGCUACAAUUUCCACUCGAUCUUGCUGUACAAAAUGUUGGCUGCCAAUCAACUUCAAAAACAAAGAGACGUUUCUCCUUUUCUGCUCGAUACAGUGCCGACCUUUGGAACAUAGGAAUAAGUCUACUUAUUAAAGAUGGGCUUUUUUUAUUUUUCGACUGGUUCUGAUGGCUCGUUCCAAAAUUAUCAAUCUGAUGUUGGUAUUUUUCACUGGAAAGAAUAUGCUAGUUGUUAUGCUACAACUUUACCAUCUUAUUGUAAUAUUAAUAGUUUUAUAAUUCUUUGCAAAAUCAGACAGAAUAUCCUACAGAAAGAGUUGCUGCCCUUUUGAAUUACGUGAAGGAAUUGAAAAUCCACCAACUAGUGAAGCUUUUCUUGAAACAAAAAGAACAGAAUAUAAUACUACUACUAUUGCAACAGAUGAAUCUUUAACAGAAAAUGUUUGAUAAAGUCAUCUUUUAGUUAUUAUUGUAUUUGUGUUUGAAAUUCUUUGUUUCUAGAGGUAAUAAAAUAUAUAUUCAA